UGGGGAAUUUUGGACAAUGGGCGAAAGCCUGAUCCAGCCAUGCCGCGUGCAGGAUGAAGGCCUUCGGGUUGUAAACUGCUUUUGUACGGAACGAAAAGACUCCUUCUAAUAAAGGGGGUCCAUGACGGUACCGUAAGAAUAAGCACCGGCUAACUACGUGCCAGCAGCCGCGGUAAUACGUAGGGUGCGAGCGUUAAUCGGAAUUACUGGGCGUAAAGCGUGCGCAGGCGGUUAUAUAAGACAGUUGUGAAAUCCCCGGGCUCAACCUGGGAACUGCAUCUGUGACUGUAUAGCUAGAGUACGGUAGAGGGGGAUGGAAUUCCGCGUGUAGCAGUGAAAUGCGUAGAUAUGCGGAGGAACACCGAUGGCGAAGGCGAUCCCCUGGACCUGUACUGACGCUCAUGCACGAAAGCGUGGGGAGCAAACA
rnacentral:rRNA from 1 species